rnacentral:lncRNA from 1 species
GGCUGCGGGGAGGGCGGCGCGGUCGCAGCUGCGCUACCCGGGCGCAGUCGCUCCCUCGCAAGCCGUGCGAAACGCCGCGAACGGAACGCUUGUCCCGCCGUGUCCCGCGAGCCUCCGCGCCCCCGGCCGGCACCUCCUGCAGCACAUCCUUAGCAGAGGCGUAGCUGGAGGAGCGCGGGUCCGCCGCCCGCCGUCGUUUUCGGGGACCCCCGGGGCAGGGGACGGCGCGGAGGCAGCCGCAGGGCGGUAUCGCCCCGGCGGCGAGAACGGACCGUGCGCUACGGGACUAGCGGGGCAGCCCGACUUUUUCGCGGGAGAGGAAGUUUCGCUAGAGCGCCCUUCAGAGAGAAGCAUCCAGCAUCUGCGCUACGGUGCAGUCUGAGAUUAAGAAGCCCAUGUGCCAAUACCCUCUCGUUAAAACCACCCUUAUUCUCCGCGUUCAGCAUUUUCUUCGUGCUGCGCCUUGCUGUCAGAUAUUUAAGAGAUCUCUCCUGCGUGUAACUGAUUAGCACUCUCCCCCACACACAUCCUCGCAUUACUUGUGAGAGAGAGGAAUCAGAAACAGGCGCAGUCCCCCCGUCGGAGAGUCCCGUGGGAGUCCUCCACUCCUUCUCGCUCCGCGCACAGAAGCCCGCGCUCCCUCCCGGCGCUCUCCAGCGCUCGGCUCUGCUCGCAGCCUCGACAGGACAAGGCUGAGGCCGCCCCGCCCGGCCCAGCCGCGACGGACUGUCUGCCCCCGGCAAGUUCCCUUCCUGUCCCGUCUCUCCCUGCUGACAGCCCGUCGACGAACCUGCCGCCCCUGCGGCGCUUCAGCUGGUUCCCACGCGUGGGGCCCGCGGGGCGCUGAGAGGCGCGAUUAAAGCACCAUCCGAGCCGUGCCUCCCUCCGAUGUGCAUGGAGCACAAGGGAGACGAGGGCGCGCAGAAGCUGGCGAUUCACUAAACUCUGUGUAUCUACGUGCUUUCAUCUUCUCAGAAACGAUGCUGUGCUAGGAAUAUUCACUAAAAUAGCGAGGGCGCGUAACUGUGAAAUGGUGAAGUUUUAGACUGGACUUUGGAAAGGUAGGGGACAAAAGCGUACAGGCGAAG